CCUACGGGAGGCAGCAGUGGGGAAUAUUGCACAAUGGGCGAAAGCCUGAUGCAGCAACGCCGCGUGAAGGAAGAAGGGUUUCGGCUCGUAAACUUCUGUCAACAGGGACGAAAGAAAUGAAGGUACCUUAAUUAGAAGCCCCGGCUAACUACGUGCCAGCAGAUGCGGGAAUACGUAGGGGGCAAGCGUUAACCGGAAGUACUGGGUGGAAAGGGUGAGUAGGCGGGAUGGUAAGCCAGAUGUGAAAGCCUUGGGCUUAACCCGAGGAUUGCAUUGGAAACUAUCAAGCUAGAGUACAGGAGAGGAAAGCGGAAUUCCAAGGGUAGCGGUGAAAUGCGUAGAUAUUAGGAAGAACACCAGAGGCGAAGGCGGCUUUCUGGACUUAAACUGACGCUGAGGGACGAAAGCGUGGGGAGCGAACAGGAUUAGAUACCCGUGUAGUC
rnacentral:rRNA from 1 species